rnacentral:rRNA from 1 species
AGAGUUUGAUYMUGGCUCAGGACGAACGCUGGCGGCGUGCUUAACACAUGCAAGUCGAACGGGAUUUAGUAAACAGAAGCYUCGGUGGAAGAUUACUAAUGAGAGUGGCGAACGGGUGAGUAACGCGUGAGCAACCUGCCUAUGACAGUGGGAUAGCCUCGGGAAACCGGGAUUAAUACCGCAUAAAAUCGUAGAAACACAUGUUUUAACGGUCAAAGAUUUAUCGGUCAUAGAUGGGCUCGCGUCUGAUUAGCUAGUUGGUGAGAUAACAGCCCACCAAGGCGACGAUCAGUAGCCGGUCUGAGAGGAUGAACGGCCACAUUGGAACUGAGACACGGUCCAAACUCCUACGGGAGGCAGCAGUGGGGAAUAUUGCACAAUGGGGGAAACCCUGAUGCAGCGACGCCGCGUGAACGAAGAAGGUAUUCGUAUCGUAAAGUUCUGUCCUAUGGGAAGAUAAUGACAGUACCAUAGAAGAAAGCUCCGGCUAAAUACGUGCCAGCAGCCGCGGUAAU